rnacentral:rRNA from 1 species
GAUGAACGCUAGCGACAGGCCUAACACAUGCAAGUCGAGGGGCAGCAUAAAGGUAGCAAUACUUUGGUGGCGACCGGCGCACGGGUGAGUAACACGUAUGCAACCUACCUGUAAGAGGGGAAUAACCCGGAGAAAUUCGGACUAAUACCGCAUAAUACUGAUUAUCUGCAUGGAUUGAUCAGUUAAACAUUUAUGGCUUACAGAUGGGCAUGCGUAUGAUUAGAUAGUUGGUAGGGUAACGGCCUACCAAGUCAACGAUCAUUAGGGGUUCUGAGAGGAAGGUCCCCCACACUGGUACUGAGACACGGACCAGACUCCUACGGGAGGCAGCAGUGAGGAAUAUUGGUCAAUGGGCGAGAGCCUGAACCAGCCAAGUCGCGUGAAGGAAGAAGGUUCUAUGGAUUGUAAACUUCUUUUGCCAGGGGAUAAAAAGUCCCUGCGGGAAAAUUGAAGGUACCUGGUGAAUAAGCCACGGCUAACUACGUGCCAGCAGCCGCGGUAAU